rnacentral:rRNA from 1 species
UACGGAGGGUGCAAGCGUUAUCCGGAUUCACUGGGUUUAAAGGGUGUGUAGGCGGAUAUUUAAGUCAGAGGUGAAAUCUCCAGGCUCAACCUGGAAACUGCCUUUGAUACUAUUUAUCUUGAAUUUUGUUGAGGUAGGCGGAAUAUAUCAUGUAGCGGUGAAAUGCAUAGAUAUGAUAUAGAACACCGAAUUGCGAAGGCAGCUUACUAAGCAAACAUUGACGCUGAGGCACGAAAGCGUGGGGAUCAAAACAGGG